CCCAGUUCGGAUUGUAGUCUGCAACCCGACUACAUGAAGCUGGAAUCGCUAGUAAUCGCGAAUCAGAAUGUCGCGGUGAAUACGUUCCCGGGUCUUGUACACACCGCCCGUCACACCAUGGGAGUCGGAAAUGCCCGAAGUCAGUGACCCAACCGUAAGGAGGGAGCUGCCGAAGGUGGGGCCGGUAACUGGGGUGAAGUCGUAACAAGGUACC
rnacentral:rRNA from 1 species